UGUGUGUGUGUAGUGUGCUGUAAAUUGAGAGAGUGAGAGUGAUUAUCUUCAGAGUAAGUAAUGACUCUAGAGUCCUAGUGAGAGAAACGAAGUGUCUCCCCUGUUCUUUCUGACAUCUGCAGCAGGAGAAGUUAA